AGGCCUUGUAUGUCAGACAGGGAGGAAACAAUGAAAGUAAUAUCUCUGAAACUGGAAAUGCCCUCACAUCAUGAGCACUUACACACCGUGACAUCUCUCUUGAUGAGGAAAAAAAUUCAAAGAGAGAAAACAAGCGUGGAUGUGCGAUACCAGGCUCAGCGGGACAAAUUCAAACUUCUGCCUUCAUAGCCGUCCCCCUGAGAUGAGCAUCUGAGUUCUGCUGGGCGGUUUGAAAGCAGGUGCAGAGAAAGCAGAGUGACCACAGCAUCUGAGUUCAUCAAGAAAAAAGGAGGCAGAUCUGAGCAUUAUCCAUACACUGAUGAUACUGCACCUUAUGAUGCCUCACAAUCACAUAUAGAGGUCAUGCAUGGACAUUGCACAGAAGGUGUGACACAAUCAGAACGGACAGCUUCUUUCCUUAUUUGCAAUCUGAGCUGUAGAAAAAUGGCUAAGCCCAUCAGUAAGAGAAACAUGAGCAAGCCGCCUUUGAUAUACAAACAUACAGGCCCUACCUCAUGCUGUCAACCAAAAUAACAACAUAUACCGUAGAGAUGAAUUGAGGAACAUUACAAAAACCUAUUACAAAGAAGGGCUCAAAAGCUACACGUGAGCUCAAAUGUUAUUUAGUUUGUGUUCCUCUUUGGGGGCUGUGAAAAGAGGAAGGGAACUGAGAAGUGGAAAAAAGCAAUGGCAAAAAAUAAGAUUAAUACAGAGUAGAGGAGAAAAGCAAAUACAGAGUGAAAAAAAGAGAGGCAAAAAACAAAUGAAAAAAGUCAGUGUUGUGUAUAUACACAAAACACACCGUUUACUUGAUAUAUAUACACAAACAUAGUAACAGUGUCUCCAAAUACUGCAAAAACAGUAACUCAGCUUGUACUACUUACUAUCUGCUAUUCACAAACCUUCAUGGCUGUUUGCACAAAUGCUUGGGAAAUGGCUGUUCUUUAUAUAAAUACCUGCAUCGCAGGUGCACAAAGAGCAUGAGCCAGAGCAUUCGCCAUUCAGUGUUGUUUAUUCUCCUGUUUUAAAAAAAAUGUCAGUCAUCCAUUCAUGGAGCAGCUACAAUAGCAUGUGACUUGGGAGAUGAUCAAUCACAUGCCACCACUCGCAAAUAGUCCAAGUGAACAGCUUGCAGACCUCUCACAGGUUGA